rnacentral:rRNA from 1 species
GACGAGCGCUGGCGGCGUGCUUAACACAUGCAAGUCGAGCGGUAAGGCCCUUUCGGGGGUACACGAGCGGCGAACGGGUGAGUAACACGUGGGUGACCUGCCCUCAGCUCUGGGAUAAGCCUGGGAAACCGGGUCUAAUACCGGAUAUGACUCCAUGACGCAUGUUGUGGGGUGGAAAGCCUUGUGCGGCUGAGGAUGGGCCCGCGGCCUAUCAGCUUGUUGGUGGGGUGANGGCCUACCAAGGCGACGACGGGUAGCCGGCCUGAGAGGGCGACCGGCCACACUGGGACUGAGACACGGCCCAGACUCCUACGGGAGGCAGCAGUGGGGAAUCUUGCGCAAUGGGCGAAAGCCUGACGCAGCGACGCCGCGUGAGGGAUGACGGCCUGGUU